GGCGGCGUGCCUAACACAUGCAAGUCGAACGAGAAAGGGUAGCAAUACCUGAGUAAAGUGGCGCACGGGUGAGUAACACGUGACUAACCUACCCUGGAGUGGGGGAUAACUGGGAGAAAUCCUAGCUAAUACCGCAUAACACCUACGGGUCAAAGGAGCAAUUCGCUUCAGGAGGGGGUCGCGGCAGAUUAGAUAGUUGGCGGGGUAAUGGCCCACCAAGUCAGUGAUCUGUAUCCGGCCUGAGAGGGCGCACGGACACACUGGAACUGAAACACGGUCCAGACUCCUACGGGAGGCAGCAGUGGGGAAUUUUGCGCAAUGGGGGAAACCCUGACGCAGCAACGCCGCGUGGAGGAUGAAGUACUUCGGUACGUAAACUCCUUUCGAUCGGGACGAUAAUGACGGUACCGGAAGAAGAAGCCCCGGCUAACUUCGUGCCAGCAGCCGCGGUAAUACGAAGGGGGCAAGCGUUGUUCGGAAUUAUUGGGCGUAAAGGGUGCGUANGCGGUUUGGUAAGUCUUUUGUGAAAUCUAUGGGCUCAACUCAUA
rnacentral:rRNA from 1 species